rnacentral:rRNA from 1 species
AAAUUGAAGAGUUUGAUCAUGGCUCAGAUUGAACGCUGGCGGCAGGCCUAACACAUGCAAGUCGAACGGUAACAGGAAGAAGCUUGCUUCUUUGCUGACGAGUGGCGGACGGGUGAGUAAUGUCUGGGAAACUGCCUGAUGGAGGGGGAUAACUACUGGAAACGGUAGCUAAUACCGCAUAACGUCGCAAGACCAAAGAGGGGGACCUUCGGGCCUCUUGCCAUCGGAUGUGCCCAGAUGGGAUUAGCUUGUUGGUGGGGUAACGGCUCACCAAGGCGACGAUCCCUAGCUGGUCUGAGAGGAUGACCAGCCACACUGGAACUGAGACACGGUCCAGACUCCUACGGGAGGCAGCAGUGGGGAAUAUUGCACAAUGGGCGCAAGCCUGAUGCAGCCAUGCCGCGUGUAUGAAGAAGGCCUUCGGGUUGUAAAGUACUUUCAGCGGGGAGGAAGGGAGUAAAGUUAAUA